rnacentral:rRNA from 1 species
GACGUAGGGCGCGAGCGUUGUCCGGAUUUAUUGGGCGUAAAGAGCUCGUAGGCGGCUUGUCGCGUCGUCCGUGAAAACCAGGGGCUCAACCCCUGGCUUGCGGUCGAUACGGGCAGGCUAGAGUUCGGUAGGGGAGACUGGAAUUCCUGGUGUAGCGGUGAAAUGCGCAGAUAUCAGGAGGAACACCGGUGGCGAAGGCGGGUCUCUGGGCCGGAACUGACGCUAAGGAGCGAAAGCGUGGGGAGCGAACAGG